rnacentral:rRNA from 1 species
UACGUAGGGUGCGAGCGUUAAUCGGAAUUACUGGGCGUAAAGCGUGCGCAGGCGGUUCGUUGUGUCGGCGGGGAAAGCCCCGGGCUUAACCUGGGAAUGGCAUUUGGGACUGCAAGGCUUGAGUUUGGCAGAGGAGACUGGAAUUCCCGGUGUAGCGGUGAAAUGCGCAGAUAUCGGGAGGAACACCAAUGGCGAAGGCAGCUCGCUGGGACGUGACUGACGCUGAGACGCGAAAGCGUGGGGAGCAAACAGG